AAAGGCUGCAGUAUUUUAACUGUACAAAGGUAGCAUAAUCAUUAGUUUUUUAAUUGAAAACUUGUAUGAAUGGUUUAACGAGAUAUUAGCUGUUUUAUAAAAAUUUAUAUAGAAUUUAAUUUUUAAAUCAAAAAGUUUAAAUAUAAUUAAAAGACGAGAAGACCCUAUAGAGUUUUAUAAUAAUAAAUUUAUAAAUUUUAUAUAAUUUUUUUAUUUUUAAUUUUAUUAUUAUUUUGUUGGGGUGACAGUAAAAUUUAAAAAACUUUUAUUUUUUUAUAAACAAAAAUUUUUGUAUUUUUGAUCCAGUUAUAUUGAUUAUAAGAUUAAAUUACCUUAGGGAUAACAGCG
rnacentral:rRNA from 1 species